GCACAAACCAGAUCUCUAACUCUGCAUGAUAUUGCAGAAGUGAGGGGAACCAGGUAUGCUAAAGUAACUGCAGUGAUAGAAAUGGACUAACUUAACAUAUUAUACUGAGGAGCCUAUUUUAGUACAAGA
rnacentral:snoRNA from 1 species